GAUGAAGAACGCAGCAAAAUGCGAUAAGUAAUGUGAAUUGCAGAAUUCAGUGAAUCAUCGAAUCUUUGAACGCACAUUGCGCCCGCCAGUAUUCUGGCGGGCAUGCCUGUUCGAGCGUCAUUUCAACCCUCAAGCACAGCUUGGUGUUGGGACUCGCGUUAAUUCGCGUUCCCCAAAUUGAUUGGCGGUCACGUCGAGCUUCCAUAGCGUAGUAGUAAAACCCUCGUUACUGGUAAUCGUCGCGGCCACGCCGUUAAACCCCAACUUCUGAAUGUUGACCUCGGAUCAGGUAGGAAUACCCGCUGAACUUAAGCAUAUCAAAGCGGAGGA
rnacentral:misc_RNA from 1 species